rnacentral:lncRNA from 1 species
GGCUCGGAGAAGAAGAAACUCCAUACUACCUGCGUGGGUGUGGCGACGAUGAAGCUGGUUCGACCAGAUUACUAGAGGUACGCACAGUUCCUACUCAUCCUCUUCUGCUCCACCUUUUCCAUCUUUCAAUAUCUGACUGAGAUCUACUGGAUUAGUUUUUCAGCCAGCAGUGUGCGAUGUCAACCACCAUGAUGAAUCUGAGCUCGGUGCGGUUGGUUGCGAGUUGAGACGGGAUCUACAAACUGAAUCUGUCUUCCCGUUGAAGACCCUCUCUGUUAAAAGACUCACGGAAGAAACAAAAUGGUACUGUUAAUUAGUACUCCCCCUGUAAACUAGUAUAAGAUCUUUUAGAGUACUAUCGAGAAACAUUUCUAUUUGCAUUAUGUGAUAUCAAUCAAUCGUCUAAUUCCCAUCAAUAGUAAGAAAGACUAGAGGAAAUCUCGAAUACACGCCACCAAACACCAUGUUAAUCAAAUCAUGUGGGCUCAAUCUGAGUUGGCGUUAGGCACGAACCGUACAUAGUAUGGAUUUUAUUGUAUGACAUUGAAACAUACAGUAGUACAUAUUUGACAAUACAUCUGAGUUUGUUGGUGGUGUUGUAAAUCUCAUUUGGAGGCAAUUUCCAGGGAUCAAUGUAUCUACGAUUUUAGAAUUGCGCCUACACGUAGAGUGGCGUUGCCAGAAUUUUAAUUAACCUAGCUUGACUAAUUAAACAUACAAAAGGUACACAUCAAGCAUCAAUUUAAAGCAAUCAUAUUUCACAGCGCAACCAUAGGAUCGCUUCACCGUACAGAACAUCUCACUAGCCUGGAAUUUCUGGCAUUUGACAAAAUGUUUGCUUCUUUAUGUAGAUUUAUUUAACGUGCAAGGAUGGAAUUGCUAUUCAACAUUGAAGGUUGAUUUCUGGAGCUGUUUUGGCUGAAAUACUGAGGUCAAACUGCAUAGAGAGAAAUGACGGAGGCUGCUCUU